UUACGACCACAUCACGUCGAAACAUCUAUUCCCGUACGGUCACCGAAGUUAAGCAACGUCAAGCCUGGUCAGUACCUAGAUGGGUGACCACUUGGGAAUACCAGAUCCUGUAA